GACGAACGCUGGCGGCGUGCUUAACACAUGCAAGUCGAACGGAAAGGCCCUGCUUUUGUGGGGUGCUCGAGUGGCGAACGGGUGAGUAACACGUGAGUAACCUGCCCUUGACUUUGGGAUAACUUCAGGAAACUGGGGCUAAUACCGGAUAGGAGCUCCUGCUGCAUGGUGGUGGUUGGAAAGUUUCGGCGGUUGGGGAUGGACUCGCGGCUUAUCAGCUUGUUGGUGGGGUAGUGGCUUACCAAGGCUUUGACGGGUAGCCGGCCUGAGAGGGUGACCGGCCACAUUGGGACUGAGAUACGGCCCAGACUCCUACGGGAGGCAGCAGUGGGGAAUAGUGCACAAUGGGCGGAAGCCUGAUGCAGCAACGCCGCGUGCGGGAUGACGGCCUUCGGGUUGUAAACCGCUUUCGCCUGUGACGAAGCGUGAGUGACGGUAAUGGGUAAAGAAGCACCGGCUAACUACGUG
rnacentral:rRNA from 1 species